AGGGCCCGAAGUAUUUCGGGGCCGGCUAAGCGCGCUUUCCAAGCUGUUCUAGGUGAAGAGAGCUUUGCUCUCUAUGUAACAAAAUUGCUACUACCGCUACAAGGCUACCAGGACCGAGCGAAUCCAGCAUAUCAGCCAGUUUGCUGGCAGUCCACCGCAAUGGGAGAAGCUGCCGCUCUUGUGCCUUCAUCCAGAUGCGUCCAUGAAAGAGGAAGAGUCCGCUCUCUAAAGGGCUUCCAGUCGUGGCUGCGCUGCUGCCACUGCUGCUGCCGCGGCAUUCGAGUUUGAGAAAUCCGUGUCCGGCAACUUUGCAGUGAUCCAGACGACUUCCAUGUCUUCCAAGUCACUGAAGGCCUGCAAGCUCUGCCUGGUAGGUUUCCACUCCUUGGACUGCUCCCGGAAGGUGUUGUCCUCCUCCUUGUCCCUUCUUGGAGGGGGGAUUUCCUUACAGUGCGUAGCAUUCUCUUUCUCUCUGUUUCGUUAGUUUGGUUUCAGCUCUACAGGCUUGCGAGAUGGCUGGAAGAUUAAGUUACAAGUGUGGCUUUUCUUCUUACCUGGAAUGCAGAGAACUCGUCGAGGGGCUCCUUGUUCAUGUCGUGCAAGUCGAGGCCGGAGCAGUCGCCUUUGCCGCACAGCGUCUUGGGCCGCUGCAGUGCCCUCUUCUGCCUGUUACUCCACAAGUCUUUGACAUCGUUGUCAGUGCGCCCAGGCAUCGAUCUUGGCCCACUUUGCCGAGCUUGGCUUGCAUUUCCACGACGAGCUUUUCCAGGAAAAAACGCUGGAACUCUUACACUACAGUGACUCAGCUCAAGGUGCUUGCACAGGAUGUUGCAAGCUUCAAGCCUCUCCACUUCACACUCUGAAACACAGAAAACUCCCAACUCAAACACAGAUAGACAUAGGUGUGUUACAAAUUCUUAAACACUUGGUUAUGUACUACUUACAUUGUCAUC